ACGGGAGGCAGCAGUGGGGAAUAUUGCACAAUGGGGGGAACCCUGAUGCAGCGACGCCGCGUGAGUGAAGAAGUUUUUCGGAAUGUAAAGCUCUAUCAGCAGGGAAGAAAAUGACGGUACCUGACUAAGAAGCCCCGGCUAACUACGUGCCAGCAGCCGCGGUAAUACGUAGGGGGCAAGCGUUAUCCGGAUUUACUGGGUGUAAAGGGAGCGUAGACGGAUGAGCAAGUCUGAAGUGAAAUCAUGGGGCCCAACCCCGUAACUGCUUUGGAAACUGUUCGACUUGAGUACCGGAGGGGCAGGCGGAAUUCCUGGUGUAGCGGUGAAAUGCGUAGAUAUCAGGAAGAACACCGGUGGCGAAGGCGGCCUGCUGGACGGUAACUGACGUUGAGGCUCGAAAGCGUGGGGAGCAAACAGGAUUAGAUACCCUGGUA
rnacentral:rRNA from 1 species